ACGCACGCUGGCGGCGUGCUUAACACCUGCAAGUCGAACGGAAAGGCCCUGCUUUUGUGGGGUGCUCGCGUGGCGAACGGGUGAGUAACACGUGAGUAACCUGCCCUUGACUUUGGGAUAACUUCAGGAAACUGGGGCUAAUACCGGAUAGGAGCUCCUGCUGCAUGGUGGGGGUUGGAAAGUUUCGGCGGUUGGGGAUGGACUCGCGGCUUAUCAGCUUGUUGGUGGGGUAGUGGCUUACCAAGGCUUUGACGGGUAGCCGGCCUGAGAGGGUGACCGGCCACAUUGGGACUGAGAUACGGCCCAGACUCCUACGGGAGGCAGCAGUGGGGAAUAUUGCACAAUGGGCGGAAGCCUGAUGCAGCAACGCCGCGUGCGGGAUGACGGCCUUCGGGUUGUAAACCGCUUUCGCCUGUGACGAAGCGUGAGUGACGGUAAUGGGUAAAGAAGCACCGGCUAACUACGUG
rnacentral:rRNA from 1 species